AUACGGAGGGUGCAAGCGUUGUCCGGAUUUAUUGGGUUUAAAGGGUGCGUAGGUGGUACGUUAAGUCAGUGGUGAAAUCCCUCAGCUCAACUGAGGAACUGCCAUUGAUACUGGCGUACUUGAGUACAUACGAGGUAGGCGGAAUUUAUGGUGUAGCGGUGAAAUGCAUAGAUACCAUAAAGAACACCGAUAGCGAAGGCAGCUUACUAGACUGUAACUGACGCUCAGGCACGAAAGCGUGGGGAGCGAACAGCAUUAGAAACCCUAGUAGUCC
rnacentral:rRNA from 1 species